UCUUUGACUUGCUUACCUUGCAGGCUAUUGAGUGGACCAAAUAAGAUUAAGUACACAAAACCACUUGUCAACUCUCAAGUGCCAUACAAACAAAGUUAUUCAAUACAGUUGAAUAAUGUUCAUUCAUUACUAAUUUUAGUUUCUAAUAUGACAUUGGAUUUAUUUAUUCUGCUUAUGUAGUGGGUACACAUUUCUCAGAAUUUAGAUAUGCAAAAAAAGAAAAUGUCAUUUUACUUUUCUACUAUUCAACCUAAACUCUACUUUAAGCCCAUUUUACCUAGUAUCAGAGAACUUAAUUUUUGUCAAACUGGUGCUUUCUGACAUUCCAGGAUUUCCCCUUCACCAUUCUCCCCAGAGCUAAUUCAAGUUCUGGGAAACCUGUAUCACAGCUAGGCUACUGGGAGUGAGGGCAGGAGAGAGACUUCUGGUUUUUGGCUCACAUUGCUCUUUGGUUUAGCCACUCACUGCUGAUGUCUGAGUUUUCAUCAGCCUCCAGCUGAUAGUGCACCCUGCUUUCCUUGCCCUAGGCCCACAGGCUGUCUCUCUGGCAUCCUUUCCUCUUUUGGAGUGAUGAGAUAUUUUGGGAUGCCCUUACAUACCACUCCUAAGACUACCAGAGAUUUGAGAAACUGAUCAUCUGUACUGAAAAACACCAUAUCACUCCAUAAUACUAUCCUCCUACUCCAUAAUACUGGCCCAAACUGGCUAAAUCUUGGUAUUUCUGAUUCAGCUUCUUGUCUACAGCCCAAGAAAUUCUUUAAGCAAGACUAAGAGAGGAAAAGAUUUCUACAGAAAGCUCAUUCAGCAUUUUUUCACAAGCCUUUUGGAUGGCUAAUUGGAGCUUUGGCUCUCAUACUCCAAUGCCCAAACUUCUGAACCUAAACUCUCUUCCAAAACCAAUAUCCUCUGUUAAGAUUUAUAAAACUCUAUUUAGAGUUUAUAUUUUGUUCCUCCUUUUCUCAGUGCAGUUUCUACGUCUGCUUCAGAUGCUGCCUUUUUUCUUCUGACUCAGCUUAGGCAAACUUGCAGCCUAUUUGUAGAAUGAAAAUUGGGAAGAAAAAAUGGGAUGGCACACAUAAGUCUAAU
rnacentral:lncRNA from 10 species